rnacentral:rRNA from 1 species
GAUGAACGCUGGCGGCGUGCCUAAUACAUGCAAGUCGAGCGAACAGACGAGGAGCUUGCUCCUCUGACGUUAGCGGCGGACGGGUGAGUAACACGUGGAUAACCUACCUAUAAGACUGGGAUACCUUCGGGAAACCGGAGCUAAUACCGCAUAAUCUAUUGAACCGCAUGGUUCAAUAGUGAAAGACGGUUUUGCUGUCACUUAUAGUUGGACCCCCGCCGCAUUAGCUAGUUGGUAAGUUAACGGCUUACCAAGGCAAGGCUUCGAAACCAACCUGGGGGGGUGAUCGCCCCCUUGGGACUGGGGAACGGGUCCAGACCCCUAGGGGAGGCAGCAGUGGGGAAUCUUCCGCAAGGGGCGAAAGCCUGUCGGAGAAACGCCGCGUGGGGGAGGAAGUUCUCCGGUCCGUAAAACCCUGUUAUAGGGGAAGAAGAAAUGGGUAAUUAACGAUGACCGUCUGGAGGGUACUAAACCAAAAGGCCCCGGCAACCUCCUU